AUUUCAUUGUUGCAUCAUACACAUUUUGCAAGUAAUGAAGAUUGGCUUUAGAAUACAAAUUGACUUCAAACUACAUUUUUCAUAAGUUUUCAAAAAUAUACUUCUGUUUUCAAUGACAAAUUUCUAACUAAAAUUGUAUGUGCGAACUAAGGUAUUUGGAACAAAUUAUUUGAAGAAAGGGUAAUCAUACCAAGAUAAAACAGAAACCAAUGAUGAAGGUAAAAUAAAUGUUGGUGACCGAAAUGCAACCAACAAUCUAAAGCUGUUUGUCUCGGUUGUAAUUCAUGUAAGAGCCAUAAAACAAUUAACUUUUAUUUUUGAACGUUACAGUAAUGUUUUUAGUCUGAAGUAAAACCUAUCUGCACUAGUGACAAUGCCGAAUAGUAAGUUAUUUACUGAAACUGUCAUACUUCUAUUUUCAUCAUUUUUUC
rnacentral:lncRNA from 1 species